rnacentral:lncRNA from 1 species
CUUCAUAGAAUGAAUUGGGUAGAGUACCUUCUGCUUUUAUUUUGUGGAAUUGCUUGUGGACAGUUGGAACUAGGCCUUCUUUGAAGGUCUGAUAGAACUCUACACUAAACCCAUCUGGACCUGGGAUUUUUUUGAUUGGGAGACUACUGAUGAUUGAUUCUAUGUCUUUAGGGGAAAUGGGACUGUUUAUAUUGUUAAUUUGAUCCUGGUUAAACUUUGGUACCUGGUAUCUGUCUAGGAAGUUGUCAAAUUCAUCCAGUUUUUCUAGUUUUGUUGGUUAUAGCCUUUUACAGUAGGAUAUGUUGACAUUUUGGAUUUUCUCAGGUUCUGUUGUUAUGUAUCCUUUUUCAUUUCUGAUUUUCUUAAUUAGGAUACUGUAACUGGACCCUCUAGUUAAUAUGGUGAAGGGUUUCUUUAUCUUUUUUAUUUUCUCAAAGAGCCAGCUCCUGGUUUGGUUGAUUCUUUGAAUAGUUCUUUUUCUUUCGACUUGGUUGAUUUCAGCCCUGAGUUUGAUUAUUUCCUGCUAUCAACUCCCCUUGGGUGAAUUUGCUUCCUUUAGUUCUAGAGCUUUUAGGUGUGCUGUCAGGCUGCUAGUGUAUGCUCUCUCCAGUUUCUCUUUGGAAGCACUCAGGGCUAUGAGUUUUCCUCUUAUGUCUGCCUUCAUUGUGUCCCAUAAGUUUGGUAUGUUGUGGAUUCAUCCUCAUUAAGCUCUAAAAAGUCUUUAAUUUCUUCCUUUAUUUCAUCCUUGAACAAGCAAUCAUUGAGUAGAGUUUCAUUCACUUUUCAUGGGAAUGCUGGCUUUCUAUUUUUUAUGUUGUUAUUGAAGAUCAGCCUUAGUUUGUGGAGGUCAGAUAGCAUGCAUGGGAUUAUUUCAAUAUUUUUGUAUCUGUUGAGGCCUGUUUUGUGACUAAUUAUCUGAUCAGUUUUGGAGGAGAUACCAUGUUUCGCUGAGAUGAAGGUAUAUCCUUUUGUAUUAGGAUAAAUUGUUAUAUAGGUAUCUAUUAAAUCCUUUUGUUUCAUAACUUCUGUUAGUGUCCAUGUGUCUCUGUUUAGUUUUCAUUUCCAGGAUAUGAUAAUUGGUUAGAGUGGGGUGUUGAAGUCUCCCAUUAUUAUUGAGUGAGGUGCAAUAUUUGCUUUGAGCUUUACUAAAGUUAUUUUAAUGAAUGUGGCUGCCCUUUUAUUCAGAGCAUAGAUAUUCAGAAUUAAGAGUUCAUCUUGGUUGCUUUUACCUUUCAUUAGUAUGAAGUGCCCCUCCAUUUUUUUUCUUUUUCUUUUCUUUUCUAGUUUUUUUUUUUUGAUAAGCUUGGGUUGGAAGUUAAUUUUAUUCGAUAGUAUAAGGGCUACUCCAGACUUUUUCAUCGGACAAUUUGCUUGGAAAAUUGCUUUCUAGGUUUUCACUCUGAGGUAGUGUCUUUCUUUUUCUCUGAAGUGGGUGUCCUGUAAGCAGCAAAAUGUUGGGUCUUGUUUGUGUAGCCAAUCUAUUAGUCUAUGUCUUUUUAUUGGGGAAUUGAGUCCAUUGAUGUUAAUUGAAAUUAAGGAAAAGUAAUUGUUGCUUCCUGUUAUAUUGUUGUUAAAGUUGGUAUUCUGUAAAUGUGGCUUUCUUGUUCUGGUUUGUUGAAGGAUUGCUUUCUUGCUUUUUCUAGGGUGUAGUUUCUGUCCUUUGUGUUGGUGUUUUCCCGUUAUUACCCUUUGAACGGCUUGAUUUGUGGAAAGAUAUUGUGUGAAUUUGGUUUUACCAUGAAAUAGUUUGAUUUCUCCAUCUAUGGUAAUUGAGAGUUUUGCUGGUAUAGUAGCCUGGGUUGGCAUUUGUGUUCUCUUAGGGUCUGCAUACCAUCUGUCCAGGAUCCUCUGGCUUUCUUACUUUCUGUUGAGAAGUUUGGGGGUAAUUCUAAUAGGCUUAGCUUUAUAUGUUAUUUGACCUUUUUCCCUUACUGCUCUUAAUAUUCUCUCUUUAUUUAGUGCUUUUGUUGCUUUGACUUUUAUGUGUCUGGAGGAAUUUCUUUUCGGGUCCAGUCUAUUUGGAGUUCUCUAGGUUUCUUGUAUGUUCAUGGGCAUCACUUUCUUUAGGUUUGGUAGGUUUUCUUCUAUUAUUGUGUUGAAGAUAUUUACUGGCACUUUAAUUUGAAUAUCUUCAUUCUCAUCUACUCCUAUUAUCCGUAGGUUUGGUCUUCUCAUUAUCACCUGGAUUUCCUGGAUGUUUUGAGUUAGGAUCUUUUUGCAUUUUGCAUUUCAUUUUAUAGUUGUGCCCAUGUUCUCUAUGCAAUCUUCUGCACCUGAGAUUCUCUCUUCCAUCUCUUGUAUUCUCUUCCUGAUGCUCGCAUCUAUAGUUUCUGAUUUAUUUCAUAGGGUUUCUAUCUACAAGAGUUGUCUCACUUUGUUUUUUUUUUGUUGUUGUUGUUUUGUUUUUUGUUUUUUAUGGUUUCUACUUCCCUUUUUUUGCUUUUUUUUUUUUGUUUUAUGUUUUGUUUGUUUUUUUGUUUUGGAUGGUUUUAUUCAAUUCCAUCAACUUGCUUGGUUGUGUUUUCCUGUAGUUCUUUAAUUUCUUUAAGAUUCAAUGCAAUCCCCAUCAAAAUUGCCACUCAUUUCUUCACUGAGUUAGAAAGGGCAAUUUGCAAAUGAAUCUGGAAU